rnacentral:rRNA from 1 species
GAUGAACGCUGGCGGCGUGCUUAACACAUGCAAGUCGAACGGAAAGGCCCAAGCUUGCUUGGGUGCUCGAGUGGCGAACGGGUGAGUAACACGUGGGCGAUCUGCCCUGCACUUCGGGAUAAGCCUGGGAAACUGGGUCUAAUACCGGAUAGGACGAUGGCUUGGAUGCCAUUGUGGAAAGUUUUUUCGUUGUGGGAUGAGCUCGCGGCCUAUCAGCUUGUUGGUGGGUUAAUGGCCUACCAAGGCGUCGACGGGUAGCCGGCCGGGGAGGGUGUACGGCCAGAUUGAGGGGGAGUUAGGGACGAGACUCACACGGGAGGGAGGAGUGGGGAAUAUUGAACAAUGGGUGGAAGCAUGAUGCAGCGAGGACGCGUGGGGGAUGAAGGCAUGCGGGUUGUAAGCACCGUGCGCUAGGGAGGAAGCGUUUUUGUGACGGUACCUGGAGAAGAAGCACCGGCUAACUACGUG